GAUGAACGCUAGCGGCAGGCUUAAUACAUGCAAGUCGAGGGGCAGCACAGAUAGCAAUAUUGGGUGGCGACCGGCAAACGGGUGCGGAACACGUACACAACCUUCCUUUUAGUGUGGGAUAGCCCAGAGAAAUUUGGAUUAAUACCACAUAGUAUAUUGGAGUGGCAUCACUUUGAUAUUAAAGAUUUAUCGCUAAAAGAUGGGUGUGCGUAUGAUUAGGUAGUUGGUAGAGGUAACGGCUCACCAAGCCUUCGAUCAUUAACUGGUGUGGGGGAACGACCGGUCACACGGGAGCUGAGAAACGGCCCCGACUCCUACGGGAGGCAGCAGUAAGGAAUAUUGGUCAAUGGACGGAAGUCUGAACCAGCCAUGCCGCGUGAAGGAUGACGGCCCUCUGGGUUGUAAACUUCUUUUAUGUGGGACGAAAAAGGGCCAUUUUUGGUCAACUGACGGUACCAUAGGAAUAAGCACCGGCUAACUCCGUGCCAGCAGCCGCCGUAA
rnacentral:rRNA from 1 species